CUACGGGUGGCUGCAGUGAGGAAUAUUGCGCAAUGGGGGAAACCCUGACGCAGCGACGCCGCGUGGAUGAUGAAGGCCUUCGGGUCGUAAAAUCCUGUCAGAAGGAAAGAAGUGUAUGGUAGCUAAUAUCUGCCAUACUUGACGGUACCUUCAAAGGAAGCACCGGCUAACUCCGUGCCAGCAGCCGCGGUAAUACGGAGGGUGCAAGCGUUGUUCGGAAUUACUGGGCGUAAAGCGCGCGUAGGCGGUUUUAUAAGUCAUAUGUGAAAGUCCACGGCUCAACCAUGGAAGUGCAUUUGAAACUGUAAGACGUGAGUAUUGGAGGGGGUAGUGGAAUUCCCGGUGUAGAGGUGAAAUUCGUAGAUAUCGGGAGGAAUACCGGUGGCGAAGGCGACUAUCUGGCCAAAUACUGACGCUGAGGUGCGAAAGCGUGGGGAGCAAACAGGAUUAGAUACCCUAGUAGUC
rnacentral:rRNA from 1 species